UACGGGGGGGGCAAGCGUUGUUCGGAAUUACUGGGCGUAAAGGGUGCGUAGGCGGCUUUCCAAGUUGGAUGUGAAAACUAUGGGCUCAACCCAUAGCCUGCAUCCAAAACUGGAGAGCUUGGGUUCUGGAGGGGAAAGCGGAAUUCCUGGUGUAGCGGUGAAAUGCGUAGAUAUCAGGAGGAACACCGGUGGCGAAGGCGGCUUUCUGGACAGAUACCGACGCUGAGGCACGAAAGCUAGGGAAGCAAACAGG
rnacentral:rRNA from 1 species